rnacentral:rRNA from 1 species
AGAGUUUGAUCCUGGCUCAGAGCGAACGCUGGCGGCAGGCCUAACACAUGCAAGUCGAGCGCCCCGCAAGGGGAGCGGCAGACGGGAGAGUAACACGUGGGAACGUGCCCUUCAGUUCGGAACAACCCAGGGAAACUUGGGCUAAUACCGGAUACGUCCGUAAGGAGAAAGAUUUAUCGCUGAAGGAUCGGCCCGCGUCUGAUUAGCUUGUUGGUGAGGUAACGGCUCACCAAGGCGACGAUCAGUAGCUGGUCUGAGAGGAUGAUCAGCCUCACUGGGACUGAGACACGGCCCAGACUCCUACGGGAGGCAGCAGUGGGGAAUAUUGGACAAUGGGCGCAAGCCUGAUCCAGCCAUGCCGCGUGGGUGAUGAAGGCCCUAGGGUUGUAAAGCCCUUUCGGCGGGGAAGAUAAUGACGGUACCCGCAGAAGAAGCCCCGGCUAACUUCGUGCCAGCAGCCGCGGUAAUACGAAGGGGGCUAGCGUUGCUCGGAAUCACUGGGCGUAAAGCGCACGUAGGCGGCUUUUUAAGUCAGGGGUGAAAUCCUGGAGCUCAACUCCAGAACUGCCUUUGAUACUGAGAGGCUUGAGUCCGGGAGAGGUGAGUGGAACUGCGAGUGUAGAGGUGAAAUUCGUAGAUAUUCGCAAGAACACCAGUGGCGAAGGCGGCUCACUGGCCCGGUACUGACGCUGAGGUGCGAAAGCGUGGGGAGCAAACAGGAUUAGAUACCCUAGUAGUCC